GGCGCCCGUGAGGAGGUGGUUCCCUGCUCACCUGGCGUCAGGCCUCCGGCUCCAAGGCUCUCCUCCGGCGUUUCCCGCCCUUCCGAGGGUUCGCCGGGCGCUCCCGGGCCUGAGGGACCCGCACCGAGCUCGAGGCGCCGCACACGGACCCCGACGGGGCCUUCGGCUCGGGGCUGCUCCGCCUGGGCAACCCUUACGUCAAGGACAGCCUGCUGCCAGCCUCCCUGAGGAGACGCCUGCCCGCCGAGGUGUUUACUAAAGUGAGCAAGGAUCUUCUGCAGCUGUUUGGAGCCUGAGUGGCAGAUGACACCAACUAACUGGGGACAAGUAUGAGUUACACCCCAAAGGCUGCUGCAGCAGGAUGCCCAGACAGCACGUAGACCACCUCCACACCUGCAGAGCUGAGAGGAUCUCAGCUGAGCAGGUACAGGUAAGAAGAGAAGUUCUCUUGCCUUGGAGCAGUACAGCUGCCUGGGAAACAAGAAGGGUUCCUGCUGCUUCCAGCUCUGGACGACGUGUGAAAGCAGGGAAGCAGGUGUGGAAGGAGGGCAGAGACUGAACCUCAGGAACACCAAUACCAACACAGGCACAGGGAAAGGAUGGUCUGGCGCAGCUUCUAAGGCCAGCUGCAGAGGCAGAAGAGCCAGCAGAAAGGAAACCCACUGCUGGAUUAAGGAUCACUUAAGCACAGAAGACAGAAUACUGAAUACCCUUUGGCAACAAAAUACCACCGCAAAAGGAAAAGGCUAGACAAGGAGCAAUGGAAAGACAGAACUAAAACAAACAAAAGACUUCAUCUUCUGGAAUGCAGACUCUGGGAAAAUGAGAAACCAUCAUUAAUAUAAAGGAAAAACCAAGUCAGUUUGAAGUGAAAGUCAUUGGACGAGCCCGCCUUUAAUGUACGCUGACUGCUUCAGAGCCAGACUCACACUUGUCCUUAAUCACGUCGAGACUGCCUCCUUGAGAACCUCCCCUCAGGUACCACCACUCCGGUCACCAGGCUCCAUCAGUGCUAACUCCCAACAGUGAUACCUCUCCCCAUUUCUACUGCCAUCACCUGCCACAAGGUAGGUACAAAUACCUGUUUAAAAAGAACUAAACCUUCACAGCUACAGCCCAUGUUAUGGUUGGGGGUGGGUGGGGUGCAGCAGCUAAUUGUUCACUAGUUACUGGGGUAGGACAGGCACUAUGAUUUCACAGGAAUAUUUGACAU